CCUACGGGUGGCAGCAGUGAGGAAUAUUGGUCAAUGGACGAGAGUCUGAACCAGCCAAGUAGCGUGAAGGAUGACUGUCCUAUGUGUUGUAAACUUCUUUUAUAAAGGAAUAAAACGAGGCACGUGUGCCUGUUUGCAUGUACUUUAUGAAUAAGGAUCGGCUAACUCCGUGCCAGCAGCCGCGGUAAUACGGAGGAUCCGAGCGUUAUCCGGAUUUAUUGGGGUUAAAGGGAGCGUAGAUGGGUUGUUAAGUCAGUUGUGAAAGUUUGCGGCUCAACCGUAAAAUUGCCAUUGAUACUGGCAGUCUUGAGUACAGUUGAGGUAGGCGGAAUUCGUGGUGUAGCGGUGAAAUGCUUAGAUAUCACGAAGAACCCCGAUUGCGAAGGCAGCUUACUAAACUGUGACUGACAUUGAUGCUCGAAAGUGUGGGUAUCAAACAGGAUUAGAUACCCGGGUAGUC
rnacentral:rRNA from 1 species